rnacentral:rRNA from 1 species
UACGAGGGGGGCAAGCGUUGUUCGGAAUUAUUGGGCGUAAAGGGCGCGUAGGCGGUGCGGUAAGACUGUGGUGAAAUCUUCGGGCUCAACUCGAAGCCUGCCGCGGUGACUGCCGUGCUGGAGUGUGGGAGAGGUGAGUGGAAUUCCCGGUGUAGCGGUGAAAUGCGUAGAUAUCGGAAGGAACACCUGUGGCGAAAGCGGCUCACUGGACCACUACUGACGCUGAUGCGCGAAAGCUAGGGAGCAACAGGG